rnacentral:rRNA from 1 species
AGUGAACGCUGGCGGUAGGCCUAACACAUGCAAGUCGAACGGCAGCACAGUAAGAUCUUGCUCUUACGGGUGGCGAGUGGCGGACGGGUGAGGAAUACAUCGGAAUCUACUUUUUCGUGGGGGAUAACGUAGGGAAACUUACGCUAAUACCGCAUACGACCUACGGGUGAAAGCAGUGGAUCUUCGGACCUUUCGCGAUUGAAUGAGCCGAUGUCGGAUUAGCUAGUUGGCGGGGUAAAGGCCCACCAAGGCGACGAUCCGUAGCUGGUCUGAGAGGAUGAUCAGCCACACUGGAACUGAGACACGGUCCAGACUCCUACGGGAGGCAGCAGUGGGGAAUAUUGGACAAUGGGCGAAAGCCUGAUGCAGCCAUACCGCGUGGGUGAAGAAGGCCUUCGGGUUGUAAAGCCCUUUUGUUGGGAAAGAAAAGCAGCAGGUUAAUACCCCGCUGUUCUGACGGUACCCAAAGAAUAGGCACCGGCUAACUUCGUG